rnacentral:tRNA from 1 species
UCUAAUAUGGCAGAAAAGUGCGGUGGAUUUAAGCUCCAUAUAUAAAGUUUCAACUUUUAUUAGAA